AAAUACAAUCUAACACUUAUUUAAGGUACAUUAAAGUACAAGUCUCUACAAGUCUCUAAAACUGGACAGAGAGAACAAGUCUAACGUAAGCAGCGGGCUACUACUGAAUCAGAAAUUUCACUAUCCUCCUC